UGCUGUACUGUAGUAAUGGUACCUUUUUUUGGUGGAAAAAAAUCCAUUUGCUCUUUGGUUCUGAGUGACUGAUAGCUUAAAAUUGUCUGUCUGUCAAACUCCACUGCCAACAUAACAUCACAUCACCUCACCCAUGUUUGGCACUCUUUCAGGUUUAUAAAAAUAAAGACACACUAUGGGCCAACACAAAUGACCAAGAAAUGUAAAGUGCAUCACUAUUAGCUGUCUAUCCUCUAACAAAUCAUCCACCGUUGCUGCUGCUGCUGGACUUCAAUGUGUAAAUGGUUCACCACAUAUGGCAGCUGCAAGCUUUUGGCCAACUUGUUGAAUAUGAUGGAUAGUGAAAAGGCCUUCAGGCUGCAUGCUCAUGACUUGGCCCGCCCUAUCCCAUACUUUAUUCCCUUCUUUUCCUCUUUGUUUCUUCCUCUCUGGCUUCCUCGCUUAUUGAUUAUCAGAAUUUCCUCACAAUUCUCGGAUAUAUUAGCUCCUCUUCUCAGCGUGUCUUUGCUGCUCUGACUUUUGGAGGUUCUCCAACACUCUCCAAACAGGUCUGAUCCUUAACAAAGGUGAGGGUCUGGAGCUCGUUGUGUUCCAGCACAGCAGAGGGGAACGGAGAGAGGUCUGUGUUCCUGGCACACGAUUCCUUCAGCACGCUGUCACGUCUCUUCAACUCUCCCCUUCUCUGAUGUUACCUGACAGGAGGUGUGUGAUGGCAGUGCCUUCAGGCUCCUCCAGGCGUAAGAAUCAGUGAGCAGGUGGAGCGCACCGGCAGCGCUGUCUUCUGACGAGUCCCCGCCGUCUCCUGUUUUGUCAGGACCCCUGGAGCGAAGACCGGGAAGCUGUAGCCGUAUCGAUUCUGCCUCUCCAUCUCCUGCGUUGCCCGGCAUCGUUAUAGAGCAGAUACCGAGGGUUUUAGCUGGAAAUCUUGUGCAGCGCAGAGCAGCGAUUUCUCCAACCCAAGCUGGAUCAAGCUGAGCACCCUGGGGGUAGGCAGCAGUGGUUUUUAAUUGUUUGUAGUGUUAGUUGGCCACGCUGGAGGCGAGCUCUCCAGGGACAGGCCUCCAGCCUGGGUCCUGACCUCAGUGUGUGCACACAAACACCAGUGACAAAGUGAACACGCAGCCUCACACAGGUACACUGAAGCAACAGUGCCUGGGUGCACUCAAAUGCAGCUACACGCACAUACUGUAUGUACAAGGGAUCUAUGAGAGGAGAAGCAUAUAUGAUAUGUCCAUAUGCAGAAAAGACCUCAAUACAGCGCAGAAAUCAAACCUCACAUAAACUUUUUUUUUUCUCUUACUUUUUUUCCCAAGUGCCAAACCUUCUUGGGUUUACAGUAAAGUUGUAACAUUCACCUAAUAUUGCAAUUUUUUUUCCUUGCAACAACUUAAAACAUUUUGCCUUGUCUUUAAUUUAUGUUGUUUUUUUUUUUCAUUGAUUUAUCCAGGAAGGUCCCAUUUAGAUGCAAGUCAAAAUGGCAGCAACUUACACAUUCACAUACAAAAUAAUUUUACAUAUAAAACACACCAAGAAUGUAAAAGGAACAGAAGCCAAAGAAUAGUAUAAGAAAAAUAAAAUUAAGGCCAAGAAGGUAAGAAAGAGGAAAGUAGACUGUACCAGUGAUAUCCAUCGAUUAUAUAAAGCAGCAACAAGUUUCUUCCAAAACAGUUUGUAAAAUACAAUUAAAGGUAUUUUGAGAAAUGUGACGUUGUGUAAUUUGUUUUAUGCAGUUUUACCAAGCUUUGAGUUCAUCAUGGUAGUAUUUAGGAGAAAUAAUGCAGUUGAUCUUGUGCCGUUGUUAGUGAAAUAGAAUAAUAGACAGCAGGUGCAAGUCAGUAGUCGGUAGUUUACCUGACAAUGCCUUCAAAGAAAUAUAUU